UACAGAGGGUGCAAGCGUUAAUCGGAUUUACUGGGCGUAAAGCGUGUGUAGGUGGUCAGGAAAGUCGGUUGUGAAAUCCCCGAGCUCAACUCGGGAACUGCUUCCGAUACUUCUUGACUCGAAUUCGGUAGAGGGAGGCGGAACUCCAGGUGUAGCGGUGAAAUGCGUAGAUAUCUGGAAGAACACCAAUGGCGAAGGCAACCUCCUGGGCCUGAAUUGACACUGAGACACGAAAGCGUGGGGAUCAAACAGG
rnacentral:rRNA from 2 species